rnacentral:rRNA from 1 species
UACGGAGGGUGCGAGCGUUAAUCGGAAUUACUGGGCGUAAAGCGUGCGCAGGCGGUUUGUUAAGCGAGAUGUGAAAGCCCCGGGCUCAACCUGGGAACCGCAUUUCGAACUGGCAAACUAGAGUCUUGUAGAGGGGGGUAGAAUUCCAGGUGUAGCGGUGAAAUGCGUAGAGAUCUGGAGGAAUACCGGUGGCGAAGGCGGCCACCUGGUCAGAAACUGACGCUGAGACGCGAAAGCGUGGGGAGCAAACAGG